GUAGUCGAUGGGAAACGGGUUAAUAUUCCCGUACUUCUUACAAUUGCGAUGGGGGGACGGAGAAGGCUAGGUGGGCCUGGCGACGGUUGUCCAGGUUCAAGUGCGUAGGCUUAAGAGUUAGGUAAAUCCGGCUCUUUCUAAGGCUGAGACACGACGUCGAGCUACUACGGUAGUGAAGUCAUUGAUGCCAUGCUUCCAGGAAAAGCCUCUAAGCUUCAGAUUGUAAGGAAUCGUACCCCAAACCGACACAG
rnacentral:rRNA from 1 species